AUCGCGUUCGCCAUUGGUCCGCCCUAAACUCAUCCCAUUAUUUAUUAAAAGUGUAUGAAUGGGUAAUUGCAACUGUGAUAUUUGACUGUAGAUCGCUCAACACAAACAACCGAGGAAUAAAAAGGGCUCGAGCUCUAAACGGAAUUAGCACGGGAUAUAGUGCGGGUAUAGUAAUACUCCGACCGAUAGUGGAACUCGCGUCUCCAGGUCUAUCCUGCAUGUUAAUUUGUGGUUAUUUCGUUCGACAUCAUGGAAUACUCGAGGAUAUAUUUCUAUAGUGGACUCUUCAAUAGAUAGUUGUGAUCAGUAGGGUGAUGCCUGAAAAGGGCUAGGAUGGAGGAAGGACCGGAUUUGUCCCAUUUGACUCCAGAAGAGAGGGCCAUUAUCGAAUCGGUCAUGGUUCGCCAAAAGCAAGAGGAGGAACGGGAACAAGAAAUUAUGAGGCGGAAGGCUGACGAAGUUCAAAUCCUCGAAGAAACGAUACGGGCCCGGAACGAGCAGCACAAAAAAGCCGGGAUCGAACUCGAAGCUACGUGUCACAUAUGUCUCAAAACUAAGUUCGCCGACGGCAUCGGCCAUAUUUGUAAUUACUGUUCCAUCCGGUGUUGCGCCCGGUGUGGCGGAAAAGUUACUUUAAGGUCCAAUAAGGUGGUGUGGGUUUGCAUCCUCUGCCGCAAAAAACAAGAACUUUUGAGUAAAACGGGUCAAUGGAUGUUGACUGGCGGCAAUCCUGAGACUGAUAUGCCCAUACAGAUGCAGAUGCAGCAGGCCCCCUCCGAUAAGCGGCCCAAAUUGGAGCGGGCUCACUCUGCCGCAGAAAAAGAAAAUCAACCUUUGCAAAGAUCAGGUAGCCUGUUACGGCGGCAGUUUUCCGAGCAGGAACCAAGAGCACUUUCCUGCGAAAGGUAUCAGCAGUUCAACGAGGAUGACCCUCGAUUCUACCAAGGUGAACUGGAGGGUUUAAUGAGAACCCACCCUCAUCUAGUACCGAGAAGGUACCCAGACGAAGAACCGGAUACUUCUCCAAUUGACCUUAAUCAGCAACGGGUCUCGUCAACCGCAAGUGCCAACAAAAAACACAAACGAAGCGGAUCUACUAAAAAGCAGCAUCCAAUGCCUCAGGUUCAACUUCAUUCCUAUUCCAGUUCCGAGGAAGAUCUAAAAUCGACGCCGGAAUAUGGAAGCGACGAAAGAGACAGCGAGAAAGGGAACAAUGGCGACUGGCCGCCCUUAAGUCACUAUAUCGUCGCACCCCAACACAGACCAUUACAGGACGUGACAGCUGACAAUAGAGGAUUCACCGAGCGAAGAAAGAAAACAGUAAGGUUCGACCACAACGACGGCAGUAGGCAAGGUUCACAAGACUCGCAUAGAGAUUCGGGAAUUGACACGUCUUCCACGUUCACUAGUAGUGAAGAUUCGACAAGGGGAGAUUUACCCAAGCACCCGUUGUCCUGGCAAUUAUCUGCUGAUGGUACUCGCAUGAUUGGUCAUAUGAUCUUGAGAAGGGGCAGUGGAGAAGCUACGGGGUCCAGCGCUUCAAUACUGGGGUUAAAAGUAGUAGGAGGAAAAAUUUUAGAAAAUGGUUCUAGCGGUGCCCUCAUUGAGAAAGUUAAGAAAGGCAGUAUCGCGGAUGUUGAAGGCCAAUUAAGACCCGGCGAUGAAUUGGUAGAGUGGAACGGCAGAUUACUGCAAGGCAAGUCUCAUCAAGAAGUAACUGACAUUAUAGCCGAAAGCAAACACGAGAUGAAUGUCGAACUUAUAGUGGCGCGAAGUAUGGGCAGCAGACGGAUUGCCCAAGCUACUUGGAGGCAAACGGCAACGCAUAGAGGUGACACCUUCGUUGCAGGGCAGGUAGCCGGUCAAUGGCCUCCCGAAACGGAAGUGUACGAGCGACCUCACGUGCUGGUGACCUCGCCGGGCAGUCCAGAACGUCAAGAUGCGUCUGCAUCUUUGCAUGGACCUAGUAGUGUAGGGGGGCGCGUUCAGAUUCGUCUCGGUUUUGAUUCUGCAUCACUUCAAUUAUUGGUCACCAUAGUAUGUGCAGCAGGUUUGACGCCAAGAGCGGGCCACCAGCCUAGAAACCCUUACUGUAAACUUUUUCUUCUGCCAGAUCGAUCGGAGAAAAGUAAGAGACGGACCCGGACAUUAGCUGGUACCACUGAACCUAUGUGGAACCAAACCUUUGUAUACUCGGGAUUACGAAGAGCAGAUCUCAGGUUACGAGCAUUAGAAAUUACCGUAUGGGAUUAUGUUCGGUACGGCGCUAACGACUUCCUCGGCGAGACCAUAAUCGAACUGUGGCCACUCGACGAGCAACCCACCUGGAGGACGCUGGGCCCUCACGAAGAAGUUGCUCUAACGCCAAGCGAACAUCUUUCGCCUCCAAGUACAGGCAGUCGAUUUUCGGAUAGCGAUACACCGUCCGAGUGUGAAAUAGACGGCGGUAGAGAAAGAAGGGGAGCCGAUGGCGCUAGUGUAAGUAGCGUAGGUAGUUCGUCGAGCCCCCCUAGAGAAACGGAAAGGAGAUCGAGAAGGGAUCAAGAACCAAUGCAAUCGUACAAUCAGCAUUAUAGGCGGAAUGGAAUGACGAAUCAGCGAUCCCAUUCGGCAGCGCCCUGUGAUUCCCCAGGAAUCCACGAGUCCCGGUCUCGUUCGAAAUCUCCGCGCCGCGCGACUACCGACCAUCGAUCCUUGUCGCCACCAGACAUGCGCCCCAUCACCGCCGUCGAUUACGGUAACGCGGCGUCUUACCCUGCAACCCGUUUCCAAUCUCGUUCAGCCACGGCCACCCCUACAGGGUCGCCGAAAAAGCGCCAAUUGCCGCAAGUGCCGCACGCCCUCGCCCGAGCCCUGCAGGAGAGGGUAGCUCAAGAUCUAGAAGAUCGUUCUACGGGUACCAACAACCGAAGGAUGAGGUAUAUACACACGUAUAGAAGUACAGGGUCGGGAUGGGAACGGCGUUACAGCGGGCUCAGCGAUAGUGAUCUGACUAGCCACGGUAGGUCAGAAAGAGAUAGGGCACACCACACGCGAAGGCUAGUAUCCCCAGACAGAGAUCAAGAUCCUCUGGGGCUGGGGGAUUUCGACAGUGACAUGGAAUCGGUUGCUUCUGUUACCAGCAGCGCUUUUUCAACACAAAGCGAGAGACCCAGAGGAAGUAGAAUGAUGAGCGAAUAUGGAGAGUACCCUAGUUAUCGCUCGGCAAGGGACCCUAGGGACAGAGAUUCAGACCCCCGAGAACCUAUGGAACCUUUAGAUAGCCGUCACGGUUAUCACCAUAAGUCACAUCAUCACCAUCAUCACCAUAAUCACCAUAGGGAUGGAAGCGUGAAAAGGGGACAAUUCACUAGGAGCCUCUCAAAUACGGAGCCGCCUUCGGACGAAAAAACUGACGGUAGUUUAAGCGAUACCGCAAUACUUCACGGUUUAGAAGUACCACAAAAAGAAAUGAGCAGGAAAGAGAGCCAACGCGACAGGGAAAGAGAAAGGCAAAGUCAGUUCGUGGGUUUAAGUAAAAAAAGCAAUUCAACCAGUCAACUUUCUGCGACAGGUCGCAAAAGGCGAAUGGGUUUCGGAAGAAGAGGUAAAACGUCGUUUACUGUACAUAGAUCGGAGGAGGUACUACCAGGUGAUGUCCGUCUGUCCAAACAAGGUUCUUCAGCGUCUAGUGACGGAGAAGGCUCCGCCGAUGGCGACAGGUGGUCGCCAUCACUGAGACUAACAGGCGAAGGAGGUCAAUUAGCUGACUUUAUAGACGGAUUAGGACCCGGUCAAUUAGUUGGACGCCAAGUACUUGGUGCGCCAGCUCUUGGAGAUAUCCAGCUGUCUCUGUGUUACCAAAAAGGUUUCCUGGAGGUCGAAGUAAUUAGGGCUAGAGGUCUUCAAGCACGGCCGGGAUCUAAAGUUCUACCCGCGCCUUACGUAAAAGUAUAUCUGGUAAACGGAAAAAAAUGUAUAGCGAAAGCGAAAACAUCGACAGCUCGCCGAACUCUGGAUCCAUUGUACCAACAACAAUUAGCAUUUAGGGAGAAUUAUCAAAAUUGCAUUCUUCAGGUGACCGUGUGGGGUGAUUACGGUAGAAUCGAAGGCAAAAAAGUGUUUAUGGGCGUUGCGCAGAUCAUGCUCGAUGAUUUGAACCUCAGCAACAUAGUGAUUGGAUGGUACAAAUUGUUUGGAACCACAUCCCUGGUUAGUGGACCUCCUUCUCUUGGUUUAUCGCGCCGAAGCUCGGUGGCUAGUUUAGAUUCCCUCAAACUAUAAAUUCGCAACACCGUAUCUUUCCCAUUGUCGUGCUAUUUGGUUCGAGCAGUGAAUAUGCCAAAAGUCGCAGUUAGGUUGAGUUAUAAAUGUGGUUCUAAUCAAGUUUUAGUUCUGCAAGUUAUAUCAGAUAGAUUGCCAAAGAUAAUUAUGAAAACCUGAAACAUCUAACUGAAGUUAAAUAAAUUCUAACUAUAGAAAUUUAAUUUGUUUUUCUUUCGGUCGUUGGAUCUUGACCAUAUGGUGGAAGUUGCAAAUAAAUUAAUACAAUCUCCUCUAUUAUUAAAACCACAUACUACGCCUAACCUCUUGGAUCCAAAAUAUAACUUUUCGCAUAUACAUCUGCGAUUUCAUUACUUCACUUUACUGCAUAUCACCGACCUCGUAGCUGCGUGUUAAACCACCGAAGAUACUUCUCCUGCGCAUAGUGAAAGGGUAUUUCACCCACCAGCUUAUACAAAAAGGGUACUGCUUAAUUUUUAAAACUAGUGUAACGAAUAGACUAUUAAAACUAAGGACAAUUUUCUAACCGGAGUGCUCUAAAUAUUGUCUAGUGGGUUUUCCGAAAACAAAAUAUACCUAGGACUAUAUCCCAAAGUGAUUACAAAACUGGGCAAAACACAAGUGUUUAUCGAAGGAGUGCUCAAGAAAUAUUUAGAGCAACGUAAACACGAACUUUGUUAAAAAAAUUAAAUUAUAUCAGAAUAUAUAACAUUGUUAAAACACAGCAUAAAGUGAUGAAAAAAGAACUUAAAAUAGUCAGAGAAGUAGACAAUUUAGUAAAUAGUGUAAAUGAAAAUUAAGGGAAAAUCCGUAAGUGUAGAUACCACGCACACAUACAAAUAUAGUGUCACCAAUAUCAUAUCCAAGUAUUAAAAUUUUUAUUAUACAGGGCGUCUCAUAUUUAGCGAGUGAUAUAAACAAUUGGGCCCGCAAAGCCCGCUCUGUGUGAAAAAUGCUUUAUUGGAAUUGAUAAAAUGCUUUUUUACUUAAUAAACGAUGAAGUCGUUAAAAAAUUGUAAAUUAUAAAUACAUACGUAGAUCGGUAUUACGAACUUUUAUUGUAUGAAAAAAUAUGUUAUAUAAUUUACUUAUUAAAUUGCAUGUGAUAAAUAUGAUGUUAUGUUGGCUGUUUAAAAUACCCCGCUAAUGAUACUAAAAUACAGACUUCGACGUCGUUUCGGAUUUUCGUUUAAUUCUAUCUGUUUUCUCUAUCGUGCCUGAACUUAUCUCCGCUAUACCGGGUGAUUGAUGGUCGACGUUUAUAGAAAACCAAAAUGUUUUUCCUUAAUACUUAUAUUUAAUCUAGUGCCCUUUUUGAAAUUGUUUUUCUUUUUUUUUACAAAAUAUAAUUGCUACCAUUUAAACCCACAAAAGGUAGAAUUGGGGAAAGCCACAAAAAGUCAAUUUAUUCUAUGUGGACGUUUAAAAUGUGUGUUUUGAAAAGUUUAUAAGACAAUUAAAUUUCCUUAAAAAAGACGUGAAAUAGUGGUAUGCCUAACUGGGCUGAUGCUAGAAAUAAUCGCUAUAAUUAUUAAAAAUCACAUUAACUUCAUAAACUUUUAUUAGUUUAAAAUCAUCAAACUCUCGUUUGAGUAAUUAAUAUGCGCCAUUUUAAUUCAUUUUAAAAAAUAAAUUAAAAAAUCAUAAAUGAAGUUUUAAAACUUUUAAAUCUAUUUCACACACGUGGAAAUUGAGCAAUUAUUGGUAGACAACAUGGCGUUUAAUGGUUUAUUAAUAGAAAUAUGACAAGUUAAUAUCGGACUGAUGUGGCUUUUACUUGAUGAAAAUUCAUCCAUCCAACACAAAUUAAAUUAGAACAAAAAAUGUUCAGAUUUUCAAAGUUUUUAUUGAUUUAUGGCAGCGGUUUCGGCAACACUAUGCCAUUCAUUUAAACUUUGACUAUAAUUUUGCUAUUUUACAUCAUUCAAAAAGCAAAAAACUAAAUUUGUUGGAAGCUAUGGAGAUUAACAAAAUGAGAUAUUCGAAUUUAUUACUUAAUGACCAAUUGGAUUGAAAUGCGUCUCCGUUGUUAAAUUUAAACUUAUAACUAAAUCUAUUACUACCUGUUUUUAUAUACAAAUGUCGGAAUAGAGUCAUAUUUUGUAUUUGACAAAGGCAUGGUGUUGCCGAAACAGCUGCCAUAAAGCAUUAAAAACUGCGAAAAUCUGAACAUUUUUUGUUCUAAUUAAAUUUGUUCUAAUAUACUUCUUAAAUGUACUAGGUAUACUACUAUUCUAAUUUUAAAUAAUAGAGUUUUGAUCAUUUUCCAGUAUUACAUGAGAAUCAUUAAGUUUACUUUGGAAUGAAUUUUAAUGGUUCAAAUGGAAACUAAGCUAAGGUUCUAAUUCUAAUAUUAUCAUAUUCUGGGCAAAAACUGUACUAGAUAAAUGGGAUAAAAAACUAUUAAUCCAAAAUAAUCACAAAAAAGCUGUGGGUGCAAAAAUGUAAUAAAAUAUACGUUACGUUAUGAUAUUUAAAACAUGAGUCCCGCGGUCACCCGAUGUGAGUGAAAUCGAAAAAAAGGGAUUGUAGAUGAUUUUUUAGUAUUUUAGGAAGAUAAUAUGUAAAUAGUUCUGACAAUUUCUAAAAAAGGUGUCAGGCCACGGACUUAUUAUGAUUUCUUAUUGUGGUUUCAAGAAGUGGCAACUAUUAGACAAUUUAAGAUUGUGUGACAUCGUGCUUAAAAAAUAUAUUUGCUUUGCUUUUGCUAUGAAAUUCAUUAUAGUGUUGGAAAUGUUUUAUUCGUUGCAAAAAAACAAUAAAUUACGUAUCAAGUUUAUAAAUACGCGUUUUAUAUUCACGAUAGACAAAACAGAAACAACGAAGCCAAAACUAAAAAACAAUCGAUAAACUAGAACAUUGUACAGAACAUCGAUGUAAAAGUGCGCUGCAUUUUUUUUAUCGAACUAAAAAAUGGAUCCUGGUAUAUUAAAUAUGAUAAAUACUACCAAAUUCUUGUAAAUUAUAAUACAUUUUUGUAUCUAUAGUUGUUUUUACCUUAAGUGUGUAGAUUUUUUUAUUGUUGCCUCAUAAUAUUAGUAAUGAACUUUUGUAUGAUUAUUUGAUAAAAGUGAACUUGCCGUCACUCUCUGGAGUUAAUUUCCGUACAAAGGGGUAACUGGGUAAUGGGUCCUUGAAUAUCCGGGCAUAUAGAACCCCGUAAAGAAAACUAACAACUAGUUGAAUUUUCGCAAUUUUUUUUAAUUUGUGAUAUUGUAAAGAACCUUUUUGACCAGAGAACAAACUUUUCAACAUCACUCGGUUCAGCUCUAGGGUGCGCCAAAAAUUCAAAGGUGAUAUUUGCGACAUUGAUUGUUAGCUUCCGAUUGGAAUCCAUUAAUCUGUUUUUAAAGUCUUUAUGGUUAUAUAGUAUACAGAAUGACACAUUCUAUAUAAUACACUUACAUUAACAACUGAUUUUCUCAAAAUAAUAUUACAACACAACAAUUUAGGAUACCAGUUAUUAAGCAAUCAGCUCUUGGAAUAUGGACAUGGUGGUUAGCAUAUAGAUAGAAUGGUUUUAAAGUUUGCAGCUCUCUCGGGCUUUGAAAAACAUCUUUUAAAUGAGUAUUACAACAUAAAUUACAAACAUUAUUACAGUUUCGCAUCAAAAUCUGCGAGGUCCUUCAUAUUUUCAUUGGAAAGGUUUAUUCAAUAAUAUUCAAAUCAUUUCAUGGUCAUUUCACUUUUUUUGCUUAAUGUCGAAUUUUACAUACAAACGAGACGGCAAGUUCGUGUAGGAUAUUAGUUGAAACAUUAGAAUAUACUUUUGUUUAGCAUAUUGUUAGCAAUAGGGGCUUUAAAACUGCUUAAAACAUUCGAGGAGGAUUUUUAAAGAAACAUUUCAUCAUUUGAUUGCUAUUUAAUUAACGGUAUCGCGAAAUACAGUUCAGUAGAAAGUUUAAAAGGAGGGUUAAAAAUUUGCAGGAUAAUUUGAUAGUUAUCUACAUUUUAAUAAUAGUGCGCGUAGUAUUUCCAUACUGAUUACUGCUGAACUGUGUUUUUUUUGUUUAAAAACACAAAAAAGGCAACUGUGCAUAUCACUGGAGGUGUCAACAGCGUCCACUGAAUGUCCGUCUUGAUAUGUUCACUCUUGACUGAUGUACCCAUUAUCCAGCCCUCUGGGCAAGACAAUAAAUGAAAUGAU